rnacentral:rRNA from 1 species
AUGGCCCACAUAUCAGAUAUUAAACUGAUAAGAACAGAUACUACACUUGAUCUUAGCCAAAAGGCCGAGAAAGGUAUGAGUUGUAAUGAUGCCCUGGGUCUCAGUUUAUAG